rnacentral:misc_RNA from 1 species
GAUGAAGAACGUAGCGAAAUGCGAUACGUAAUGUGAAUUGCAGAUUUCAGUGAAUCAUCGAAUCUUUGAACGCACAUUGCGCCCGCCAGUAUUCUGGCGGGCAUGCCUGUUCGAGCGUCAUUUCAACCAUCAAGCGCCUCGCUUGUGUUGGGGCCCUGCGGCUGCCGCAGGCCCCUAAAUCCAGUGGCGGGCUCGUCGUCGUACCGAGUGCAGUAAACAUCCUCGCUCAGGGAACCCGACGGGUGCCGGCCGUGAAACCCCCCCUCCUCAAGGUUGACCUCGGAUCAGGUAGGAAUACCCGCUGAACUUAAGCAUAUCAAUAGCGGAGGA